rnacentral:piRNA from 1 species
UCACUAGGCUGCGGUCGUGUCUUGUUGA